rnacentral:rRNA from 1 species
GAUGAACGCUGGCGGCGUGCCUAAUACAUGCAAGUCGAGCGAACGGACGAGAAGCUUUCUUCUCUGAUGUUAGCGGCGGACGGGUGAGUAACACGUGGAUAACCUACCUAUAAGACUGGGAUAACUUCGGGAAACCGGAGCUAAUACCGGAUAAUAUUUUGAACCGCAUGGUUCAGAAGUUAAAGACAGUCUUGCUGUCACUUAUAGAUGGAUCCGCGCUGCAUUAGCUAGUUGGUAAGGUAACGGCUUACCAAGGCAACGAUGCAUAGCCGACCUGAGAGGAUGAUCGGCCACACUGGAACUGAGACACGGCCCAGACUCCUACGGGAGGCAGCAGUAGGGAAUCUUCCGCAAUGGGCGAAAGCCUGACGGAGCAACGCCGCGUGAGUGAUGAAGGUCUUCGGAUCGUAAAACUCUGUUAUUAGGGAAGAAAAUAUGUGUAAGUAUAUGUGCACAUCUUGACGGUACCUAAUGAGAAAGCCACGGCUAACUACGUG